rnacentral:rRNA from 1 species
GCCUAACACAUGCAAGUCGAGCGGAUGAAGGGAGCUUGCUCCUGGAUUCAGCGGCGGACGGGUGAGUAAUGCCUAGGAAUCUGCCUGGUAAUGGGGGAUAACGUUCCGAAAGGAACGCUAAUACCGCGUACGUCCUACGGGAGAAAGCAGGGGACCUUCGGGCCUUGCGCUAUCAGAUGAGCCUAGGUCGGAUUAGCUAGUUGGUGAGGUAAUGGCUCACCAAGGCGACGAUCCGUAACUGGUCUGAGAGGAUGAUCAGUCACACUGGAACUGAGACACGGUCCAGACUCCUACGGGAGGCAGCAGUGGGGAAUAUUGGACAAUGGGCGAAAGCCUGAUCCAGCCAUGCCGCGUGUGUGAAGAAGGUCUUCGGAUUGUAAAGCACUUUAAGUUGGGAGGAAGGGCUGUAGGCUAAUAUCCUGCGGUUUUGACGUUACCAACAGAAUAAGCACCGGCUAACUUCGUGCCAGCAGCCGCGGUAAUACGAAGGGUGCAAGCGUUAAUCGGAAUUACUGGGCGUAAAGCGCGCGUAGGUGGUUCGUUAAGUUGGAUGUGAAAGCCCCGGGCUCAACCUGGGAACUGCAUCCAAAACUGGCGAGCUAGAGUACGGUAGAGGGUAGUGGAAUUUCCUGUGUAGCGGUGAAAUGCGUAGAUAUAGGAAGGAACACCAGUGGCGAAGGCGACUACCUGGACUGAUACUGACACUGAGGUGCGAAAGCGUGGGGAGCAAACAGGAUUAGAUACCCUGGUAGU